UAUAAUUCUAUGCAAAUAAUACAAAAAUAUAUAAAUAAAAACCACACCAUUUUGAUUUCUCAUUCAAAGGAAACAAAAAACAAAACAAAACCAUGACAUUGCCUCUGGAUUUCUUACCCUAUCUGACAAAAUAUGGAAUGCAUAGUAGUAUACGCAUACAUUUCAUGGCUUUUCAAGUAGAGUAUAGAACGUAAGAAAUUUCAAACAUGCUCCCAAGUUAAGAAAAAAGGCCUGAAGGUCAUCUGAGAUCUUUCAAAUGGGCUCCUGAUUGGCAAGAAGAGAGCUGAAGGUUGUUGAAACUGGGUGUUAUAGCAACUGACUCAUAUGAGUUAUCUAGCAGUUUAGAAUGCUUCCAACUGCCUGGUUCCAGAAUACCUACCUCCACAGCCAUUGGCUAUGCUGAUGGGGCUGAUGGCAGUUUCUAGGGCAACACAGUUGGAGAGCCAAACUUUCCCCACAUAUCCCUGAUAUAUAUUGUCUCCUGUUUCUGCCUGGAAAGAGGCAACAGCUGCAGCUUGAUCUUCUUAACAGCAUCAAGAACAGCAUCGAGGCUCACUUUGUCUCCAAAUUCCUUCUCACGAUGCUCCAAGAGAACACCCUAAAAUGGAAGGAGAAAUGGCAAAUAUUCAAUAAUACCUGCUUUCCAGGACCAACCACAAAAACUCCUCCCAGGACAAAGCCUUCUCCAUCCAAGUUUCCUGUAUAUCCACUCUUCCAGGCACGGAAGAAAUUCCUCCAGACGCUGCAGCGGAUAAAGCCCAUGAACAACAUUUUUCUUUUCUGAGGCCCAUAGAAUUGUUUCUGAAGAAGAAGGUGUGGUUUGCAGACGAGUGUUUUGUGGAUGUUCAGAGGCCCAGUAAAUUCUUCAUAGCUGUAGGCCUAAAAGUCCAAUUCACGUGGUCAACCAGAUGCUUCCGAGAACCCACAAGAAGGACAAGAGUGGAACAGCAUCCUCUCAUUCACAUUCUGUAGCACUUAAUAUUGAGAGGCAGGCAGCUCCAGAAAGUGGAAGGAACAGACAGCCAUUUUGACUACUAGCCACAGACAGACUGACCCUCCAUAAAUUGUCUACACCCCUCUGAAAAACUUUUUUAAUUCCAGUGGGCAGCAGAAGCAGUUUCUAGCAAGUAUACCUUAGCAUUGAGAAAGAAUUUAACUGCUGCAGGUCUGAGAGACAGAGAUUGUCUCUCUGAAAACAGCAGCAUACUGCAUCUUGAACAAAAACGUAAGGAAAAGCAAAACAUUAUAACACCAUUAAGAUGAACACAUUCAUUACAGCAUGAGCUUUCAUGAACGACAACUGCUGAAAUCCUGUUGGUGUAGCUACAUGUUUGCAAGGCGGAUGGCAUCAUCAGCUGCAGCCUUUUAUCGCUAAGUAAAAGUAUCCAAUUCCCAUCCCUAAGGUUCCGAGGCUCCCUUUUGUCCUAGAGAAGCCGUCGGGGUGGGGCUGGGGGCUCAUGAUGGCAGAGGAAGUCUUUAAUAUUCAAAAAUCACUGCCGCCAGUCCCACCGUCCUGAUUUCAGCCAAUAUAUCCGAAGAAGCAGGUUAUACUCCGUGAAAGCUCACUCCGAAAUCAAUUUGCUCAUCCAAAGGUGCCACUGCUGCGCUCUCAUUUCUCUUUUCUCCUUAUAAAAGAAAAGCUAGUUCACCUCACCGCCUGUUCUCCAGAAAUACUCAUAAAAGACACCCAAGCUACCUCUCUGCACAAAA